rnacentral:rRNA from 1 species
UACGUAGGGUGCAAGCGUUGUCCGGAAUUAUUGGGCGUAAAGAGCUUGUAGGCGGUUUGUCGCGUCUGCUGUGAAAUUUCGGGGCUCAACCCCGAACUUGCAGUGGGUACGGGCAGACUAGAGUGUGGUAGGGGAGACUGGAAUUCCUGGUGUAGCGGUGAAAUGCGUAGAGAUCAGCAGGAAUACCCGUGGCGAAGGCGGCCCCCUGGGCCGUUUCUGACGCUGAGGCGCGAAGGCUAGGGGAGCGAACGGG